GUGCUCGCUUCGGCAGCACAUAUACUAAAAUUGGAACGAUACGGAGAAGGUUAGCAUGGCCCCUGCACAGGGAUGAAACGCAAAUUCGUGAAGCUCUCCAUAUUUUU
rnacentral:snRNA from 1 species